rnacentral:rRNA from 1 species
CCUACGGGAGGCAGCAGUAAGGAAUAUUGGUCAAUGGGCGGAAGCCUGAACCAGCCAUGCCGCGUGCAGGAAGACGGCCCUACGGGUUGUAAACUGCUUUUGCAGGGGAAUAAACCCCCGUACGAGUACGGGGCUGAAUGUACUCUGAGAAUAAGGAUCGGCUAACUCCGUGCCAGCAGCCGCGGUAAUACGGAGGAUCCAAGCGUUAUCCGGAUUUAUUGGGUUUAAAGGGUGCGUAGGUGGCUUUUUAAGUCAGGGGUGAAAGACGGUAGCUUAACUAUCGCAGUGCCUUUGAUACUGAAGAGCUUGAAUGAACUAGGGGUAGGCGGAAUGUGACAAGUAGCGGUGAAAUGCAUAGAUAUGUCACAGAACACCAAUUGCGAAGGCAGCUUACUAUGGUUUUAUUGACACUGAGGCACGAAAGCGUGGGGAUCAAACAGGAUUAGAUACCCUGGUAGUCCACGCCCUAAACGAUGAAUACUCGAUGUUGGCGAUAUAUGGUCAGCGUCUAAGCGAAAGCGUUAAAGUAUUCCACCUGGGGAGUACGCCCGCAAGGGUGAAACUCAAAUGAAUUGAGGCUGAGAGNGCGAGACGACACGAGGGAGAGG